CUUUGAAAAUUAAUAAAUCGAACGGGAGCUCGCGAAGUGCAAUUUAUGGCCAGUUUUACAUGUUUACGUAGAGAAAGUGUGCCACAAAGGGAUAGACCUUAAGGAUACCAUAAAUACGAUGGGUCGGAAGCACGGCGUUCGAAAGGCUGCCGGUGACAGUCGGGUUAAGAAGCAAUCAAAGUUUGCGUCGCUGACUAAUUCGGACGAAGAAGAGUUCUUCGAGAAGGACCUAUAUUUUUCAAGGCAGGACGAUGACGAAAUCGACGAAUUUUACGCAAAGAAAGAUAAAAUCAUGCUGACAGGCCGUCAAAAGGAGUCUGACUCUGAACAGGAACAAGUUUAUGCACUGAGCUCGAAGGAAUUCGAUUCCGAGUCGGAUGAAGAGACCGGAGUACUCUCGUUGGAGCGCGCCAACGAUUUAGUAACGAGGUUUGUCAAAAAAAAGGAAUUAGACUCAGACAUUGAGGAAACCGAUGAUCUAGAUGAUCUACCUGAUGCAAAGGCCUGGGGUCGAAGGCGACUAAACUUCUAUAACACAGAUUUUGUCGAUAAGGAUGUUGGCACACUCUCCGAAAAGGAUAAAGAGGUCGCCCGUAUGGAGGAGGAGGAAGCUCGGGCAAUCCAAAAGCGACUUGCUGAUGAAGUCGACGAAGACGCUUUUGGUCUUGAAAAUCUUCAGGUGCCGAAAUGGGAUGAGAAUGACGACAUGAAAGCCUUUAGAGAAAAACAACAACGUAUAGAGAUUGACCUAAGUAAGCUACCGAGUAAAAAACUGGUCAAAAUGGUAUUAGAAGAGUCCCCUGAACUGCAGGGUCUUCUUGAUGACUGCAAGACAAAGUUACAAGAACUUGACACGGAGAUAGCUCCCAUGCUCAAAUUACGUCAAAAUGGAUGUCUUCCACGAGGAACUUCGGCGGAAAACUACUUGCUUCUUAGGCACAACCUUUUAAUAAUAUAUACGACAAAUAUCUGUUUCUACCUUAGUCUCAAGGCUAAACGGAUAAACAUUAGAAACCAUCCAAUCGUGAAGAGGCUCGUUCAGUUUAAGAAACUUAUUUCAGAACUAGACCGAACAAGAACACAGUUGCUUCCUCAGAUUCAAAAUAUUCUUGAAAAGGCCCAAGAUGGGAAAGAGCUGAAAGUAAAAAAUUUGAUUGGCUCCAAAAAGGUACAGGAGCUCAGCUCCGAUGAAGAACAAGAACACUUUAGCGACAAAAAUGAGGAACAGGAUGAGGGUCUCCAUGGUGCUGUGGAUGACAAUGAGAUUUCAUUUACGAACCUUAUAUCAAGAAAUAGUAAGCUGCUGUUAAGCGAGGCGGAGAAAGAAAUAAUGGCUCUCUACGACACGGCGCUCCCGGCUGUAAAAAAAAUGAAAAAGGACUGUGACGAAUUUGAAUCAGUUGAACAAGCCGGUAAUACGAGAAAUGAACGGCUGGACGAAGCCGCUAUCUUCGGCGAUACUGAUUCAGAAAAUGAUGAGCCGGUUUUUAAAGUUGGUCGUGAAGGUCUCGAUGAUCAAGAUGAACAAAACAGCGUCAAUAACAUGACAAAGGAUAAACCGAAUGACAUGGACGGGGGGGCUGCAGGGGAUGCAGAAGGCGAUGGCGAUAGUCGUCGUGCAAUUAAUUAUCAAAUUGCGAAGAACAAGGGUCUUACACCCCACCGAGCUAAGUACAUGCGAAAUCCAAGGGUCCGGCACAGAAUGAAAUUUCGGAAGGCCAAUAUUCGACGAAGGGGUCAAGUACGCGCUAUGCGUGAUGAAGCACAGCAACGCUACGGGGGAGAGACGUCCGGAAUUAACUUCAGAGUUAUUAAGAGCAUUAAGCUUCAUUAACCAAAAACUAAUUGAACUUAUCGGAUCAGGUCUCACUUCCGAGAACUCGAAAAACGUAGAAGCACCAGAAAACUAUUUUUAUUUGUGGAACAACUUGGAAGAUACGAAGGCUCGCAUAUUUCUCACGAUGAUGCUUCCAAAAACACUACGUCGUCACCCGCAUAUCUAUUGCUGUGGCUAUAUAGAGAAUGAUCCUCGAAUUUAAACCACGAACUGCU